rnacentral:rRNA from 1 species
CCUACGGGUGGCAGCAGUGAGGAAUAUUGGUCAAUGGGCUCGAUCCUGAACCAGCCAAGUAGCGUGAAGGAUGACUGCCCUACGGUUUGUAAACUUCUUUUAUAAAGGAAUAAAGUGAGGCACGUGUGCCUUUUUGUAUGUACUUUAUGAAUAAGGAUCGGCUAACUCCGUGCCAGCAGCCGCGGUAAUACGGAGGAUCCGAGCGUUAUCCGGAUUUAUUGGGUUUAAGGGGAGCGUAGAUGGGUUGUUAAGUCAGUUGUGAAAGUUUGCGGAUCAACCGUAAAAUUGCAAUUGAUACUGGCAGCCUUGAGUACAGUUGAGGUAGGCGGAAUUCGUGGUGUAGCGGUGAAAUGCUUAGAUAUCACGAAGAACUCCGAUUGCGAAGGCAGCUUACUAAACUGACACUGACAUUGAUGCUCGAAAGUGUGGGUAUCAAACAGGAUUAGAUACCCGAGUAGUC